rnacentral:lncRNA from 1 species
CUAAUUAUUCGGUCAAGAGAACCAAUCGAUUAACGGGUCACCAUAGAAGAUGGAGAGAGUGAUAGAGACUACAACACACCUUGAUCCAACAGCUGCAAUGAAGUUCUUGUAGGCGAAUAAUCUUAAAACCUUCUUUUACAAGCAUACUUUAAUUUUAGUUAUAUUUCCUUUAUGUGCUGGCGUUGGAUUAGAAAACUAGAUGCAUACAUGUGGCGUUAUCACUUACUUAGCAUUAUCUUAAUUGCGAGGAUCUCAUAUCAAGAAACCAACUCAAUUAUAAGGUAUCGUCCUUCCAUAAUACGUACGUACUAUACUUAUAAGCAAUUUAUGAUUUUUGAUUAAUUGAUUGUUGCUAUAAGAGCAGCUCCAACGGUGGAAUCCUAUGAAAUUCCAUGCACAAAAGAGUGAAAAUUAAAUUCUUUAGCCAAAACUAGCUGAUGAGCAAUUCCCUCGUAACAAAUGAAAGUUGUAGUAUUGUUUCAGUAGAAUCUGUAAUCAAUGUUUUUGAAUCAUGUUGAUUAAAGAUAAGUACGUUUUAAUGUUUUCAUAACUAU